CCUCAGUGACGAAAACUUUGUCCAGUUCUGCUACUGACAUUAAGUGAUGGUAACAUGUGUCUGAGGAGU